rnacentral:rRNA from 1 species
GAUCAUGGCUCAGGACGAACGCUGGCGGCGUGCUUAACACAUGCAAGUCGAACGAGAAUCUGUUGGAUCGAGGAUUCGUCCAAGUGAAGCAGAGGACAGUGGCGGACGGGUGAGUAACGCGUGAGGAACCUGCCUUUCAGAGGGGGACGAACAGUUGGAAACGACUGCUAAUACCGCAUGAUACGUUUUAGGGGCAUCCCUGAGACGUCAAAGAGUUUAUACGCUGAAAGAUGGCCUCGCG